GAAAUAGAAGUUACCAAAAUGUGGAACCUCAUGACUAAAACAAUGCCUGUUGUCAUAAGGUCCUAAGAAUGAUAGCAAAAGGGGCUGUUUGUUACCUAGCUCAGAUACCAGGAAAUCCAAAAAUUGCAGAGAUUCAGAUGAUAGUGCUC